AUGCAUGUCUAUGCAUAAACCGAAUAUGGUAAAGCCGCGAAUGGCUCAUUACAACAGCCAUAGUUUAUUGGAUCUUAGAGUCCUACUUGGAUACCUGUGGUAAUUCUAGAGCUAAUACACGCAAUCAAGCCCCAACCUUACGGGCGGGGCGCAUUUAUUAGAACAAAACCAAUUGGCUUCGGCCAUUAAUUGGUGAAUCUGAAUAACUACGCUGAUCGCAUGGUCUCGCACCGGCGACGUAUCCUUCAAGUGUCUGCCUUAUCAACUUUCGAUGGUAGUUUACAUGACUACCAUGGUUGUAACGGGUAACGGAGAAUAAGGGUUCGACUCCGGAGAGGGAGCCUGAGAAACGGCUACCACAUCCAAGGAAGGCAGCAGGCGCGCAAAUUACCCACUCUCAGAACGAGGAGGUAGUGACGAAAAAUAACGAGACAGUUCUCUAUGAGGUCUGUCAUCGGAAUGGGUACAAUCUAAACCCUUUAACGAGGAUCUAUUGGAGGGCAAGUCUGGUGCCAGCAGCCGCGGUAAUUCCAGCUCCAAUAGCGUAUAUUAAAGUUGUUGCGGUUAAAAAGCUCGUAGUUGGAUCUGCGGUCUCAGACGCUGGUUUCCUUCACGGAAUACUGGUUGUCUAGACCUACCUUGCUGGUUUUCUCCUGGUGCUCUUUACUGAGUGCCUUGAGUGGCUAGCACGUUUACUUUGAAAAAAUUAGAGUGCUUAACGCAGGCUUUUGCCUGAAUAGUGGUGCAUGGAAUAAUGGAAUAGGACCUCGGUUCUAUUUUGUUGGUUUUCGGAGCACGAGGUAAUGAUUAAGAGGGACAGACGGGGGCAUUCGUACUGCUGCGUUAGAGGUGAAAUUCUUGGAUCGCAGCAUGACGAACAACUGCGAAAGCAUUUGCCAAGAAUGUUUUCAUUAAUCAAGAACGAUAGUUAGAG
rnacentral:rRNA from 1 species